ACAUCAGUGCAUGCCACAUUAGCUCAUGUAACGGCAAAACGGGCUCUUCUAUAUAAAGAGGUAGUCCAGAGAACCUUAGGUAUGUAUGCAAUAAAAAUAUAUAUAGAGAGACCGUACUCUACUGAAAUUUUCUUUCUUCGAUAUUAUUAUUUUUUUUUUUUUGUACUUAGGCAUCGAAGCUUGCUGCUCUAAUUUUGAUUCGAAUUUUAUGGCAGUCGAACCUGAAUGAGUUUGGCGUGCAAUAACCAAAGAUUUUUAUUUCCUUUUAACAUUUGUUUUGUCUGUCCUAGCCCAUGUUCGAUUCCUCUCUGUCACAAAGCAUUUGCUGCAGCUGUACAACUUUAAGACUUCUUCUGUCAACGGGCAAACAGUUACAGUUCUCACACACACACUCACAUGGUACUUCUUUUUUCCAUUCCUUUUUCACCCCAUCAUGUGAAAGUUUUAGCAGAAGUAGUACCUUCCUAUGAUCUUGCUUGCACUCCACUCCAAAAGAAGUGGAACUCUCCACAAACAAUACAUCUCCAUGACUUACCUCUCCAUGCACCAC
rnacentral:lncRNA from 1 species